rnacentral:sRNA from 1 species
GUUCUAUUACACCUAGACAACUAAUUGUCUUUAAAAACUUUCUGAAUGUCACGAUAUAAUCUUUAGGCGUGUGUGAGGUAUGUCCUAGCGAUUCAAGGCGUUUAGUUACUAGAACAAAAUGUAUGAACCCGGUAUGAGAUAGUUAACUAUUAUUAAGAAUUACAUAUAUGUUAAAUGACGCAAAAAAGAUGGAGUGCUCAAUUGCAAUGUAUUGAGAAAUAUGUUGCUUAAUAUGUUUAUCACGUUCUUAGCUAAAUAUGAGGUCUUUGAGACAUGUUAUGGUAUUAAUUAAGUGCAGAUUAUAAAACUUGUUAAGCGCAUGUGUUAAACUCUGCUGCAUAUAUACAGGGUAUAAUUAUGUACUUUGAAUGCACAGACUAGAUAAAUAAGAUUUGAUAAUAUUUGUUAUAUAUGUAUUUAUUGAAAAUAUUUGACCCAUGAUGUUACCUAUAAGAUGUAUGAGAGUUUAUGUGUGCAUGUGAAAUAAUUUGUCGCAUAUUCAUGAGUGUCUGUUUUCACAUAUCAACAAAUGAAAGACAUAAGUAAUGGGACGCACAUGAAGAAUCUGUUGCAAAUACAUGUAUAUGUCUGUUGAUGCCAUCUUUAUUGUAAACUACGUGUAUUUAAAUUAAAAUGGUUGCGACAUGAAAUGCAUAAACCAUGCGUGGAUCUAGAUGAGGGAGUACACCCCCCAAACCCCCCGGAAAAAUAAAAUUUAUUGAAUUCACUUAGAAAAAUUACCGGAAAUAUGCCCCCCCCCUCCACACACACACACACACCUUUAAAAAAACACAAUUGUCCCUCGACCCUGAACAAAAUUUCGGGAUCCGCGCAUGAUAUACUCUAUUAUCUUAUUGUGAUUAUUCAGUAGUAUGUGUAUAUAUAAUAUACUACACUAUUGUAUAUGAUUAUACAUGUCAUGUGUCUUAAAGAGUUGUUAUGUUUAUGUGUACAAUGUUCGAAAUAUGCGACAAUUAUAUCUGCAUGUGUGUAAAAAUAAAUAAUAUAUUUUUCUCAUGCCUGU